ACCUAAAGUAACUCUAACAUCAAAAAUUACCCCCCCCCCACUUUAGAGCAAUUCAAAUGAGGUACAGCCCAUUCGAUUCAGGAUACAACCUUUACUAACGGGUAACACUCAGCACAUAUCUUCAAGUGGGCCUAAAAGCAGCCAUCUUCUAAAAAGCGUCAAAGCUUAACCAUCCUAAACACUAAUCUGACAAUCCCCCUGGAACCCUUUAAUAGUAUCGAAAACUUCUAUAACCUUAUAGAACUUUUUAUGUUAAAACUAGUAACAAGAGAUUACUUAUAUUCUCUCUUCAAUGUAAACAUAAGCCAGCAAGAACUCAUCACUGGCAAUUAACAGACCUAAACAAAUAGUAGCAACUUCUCUAGAAAACCCUACUCCCCUCCCCGUUAACCUGACACCAGAACAUUACAAGAAAGAUUAAAAGAAAGAGAAGGAACUCGGCAAAUACUAGUCCCGCCUGUUUACCAAAAACAUCGCCUCUCGUCAUCAUGAAAGGUCUAGCCUGCCCAGUGACCCUGUUCAACGGCCGCGGUAUCCUAACCGUGCGAAGGUAGCGUAAUCACUUGUCUUCUAAAUAAAGACUAGUAUGAAAGGCAUCACGAAGACUAAGCUGUCUCCUCUUUCUAAUCUGUGAAUCUAAUCUCCUCGUGAAGAAGCGAGGGUUUUACCAUAAGACGAGAAGACCCUAUGGAGCUUAAAACACUAUAACACCUGCCCCCCCCCUCCCCCUACCCAGGUACUUUACCCAUGGCACCCUGAUUAUACGUUUUUGGUUGGGGUGACCGCGGAGAAAAAUCUAUCCUCCACGAUGAAGGGGAAUUACCCCCUAAGCACUGAGCCACAACUUUACGCAUUAACAAAUUAACAUCUAUUGACCCAUUACUUUGAUUAACGAACCUAGUUACCCUAGGGAUAACAGCGCAAUCCACUUUGAGAGCUCCUAUCGACAAGUGGGCUUACGACCUCGAUGUUGGAUCGGGGUACCCCAGUGGUGUAGCCGCUACUAAAGGUUCGUUUGUUCAACGAUUAAAACCCCACGUGAUCUGAGUUCAGACCGGAGCAAUCCAGGUCAGUUUCUAUCUAUGAAGAGCUAUUUUUAGUACGAAAGGACCAAAAUAGCAUGGCCAAUACCCACUGCAAGCCAUACUUACCCAUUUUAGCCUAGCUCAAAA
rnacentral:rRNA from 1 species